UCAAUACAGGAAAGCACUGGACACCUGUGGUAAUGUUUGUAUGUGUGUGUGUGUGAGUGUGCUGCGUGGCGUGCGUGGGUAUGUAUGCCAUAAAGCUUUCGACCAGAUCAAGCAAAUAACUUUCAGUUUUUGAUAAGUUAAUCCUACAGUUUGUUUUCAUAUUUGAUGUUUAGUUAAAGAACAUAUCACUAACCAUUUCUUGUCGCUUAUCGUUUAGAUUGUCGACAUGCAAGGCAAGACAAUAUGUCAUUUUGACUCACUAUCUGGGGAGGAGGACAAAGAGAUCAUCAGUCCUUUAAUGGCACUUAUUUAUUAUGACGCUGUCAUAAAUGGAUCUUCGUUUGUGAUGUCUGAGUAGACUCUACUUAAAACCAAUAAGAAUAUACCACUUCAAACAAAUUCGGACGACUGCGGUGUUUUUGUUUGCCAAAUUGCUAGAUGUCUAGGGCUAUACAGCGCCAUCGAUUUUGAGCAGAGAGAUGUGCCUAUCUUGAGGCAACGGAUGGUUUUGGAGGUCGAGGCAGGGCGUCUGUUUGACCGAGACUACUGUUUCAUGUCCUAGGACAAGACAGGCAACCUGUACGCUUGGCUGUCUGUUAGACUUGUGGAAGAAAACCUUUUACGACUCCAAUCAUCCAACUCCUGCAGAUGUUUAUAUCAUAACAUAUCGUGCAAAAUCGUUCUUCAGGAAAUCCAAUAUCUUUUUCAGAACAAUAAAUGGGACAAACAUAAUCAAAGUGAUACCGCUUUUUUCAUAGUGUAUCACGCACAAACGAAACAAUCCUGUGUAGAGUCAAUUAUAAAUGUAAAUGAAAUUAUUUCAAAUAAAUUUAUUCAUUGUGAAAUAUUUCAACAAAAUUUGUAAUAUAUUCAAAUUUCAACCACAAACCAUUUGCAUAAUACCUUUGGUAUAAGGAAAUGAGCAAGUACAAGCUCCUUAUAGACAAUUGUUAUUGAUGUACACACGAGAUCGGAAUAGUUAUGGAGGCUGGUGUCACUUGCAUAUUUCAAUAAAUUCAUGCAUUUAACAAAC